AUACUUACCUGGCAGGGGAGAUACCAUGAUCACGAAGGUGGUUUUCCCAGGGCGAGGCUUAUCCAUUGCACUCCGGAUGUGCUGACCCCUGCCAUUUCCCCAAAUGUGGGAAACUCGACUGCAUGAUUUGUGGUAGUGGGGGACUGCGUUCGCGCUUUCCCCUU
rnacentral:snRNA from 1 species